ACAGAUCGUUCUAGAGUUUGUAUCCUGGCUCAGGACGAACGCUGGCGGCGCGCCUAACACAUGCAAGUCGAACGGAGAAAAGACAGCUUGCUGGAUUUUCUUAGUGGCGGACGGGUGAGUAACACGUGAGCAACCUGCCCCUCAGAGAGGGAUAACGUUUGGAAACGAACGCUAAUACCUCAUAACAUUACUGGAAGGCAUCUUCCGGUAAUCAAAGAUUUUAUCGCUGAGGGAUGGGCUCGCGUCCGAUUAGGUAGUUGGUGAGAUAACAGCCCACCAAGCCGACGAUCGGUAGCCGGACUGAGAGGUUGAACGGCCACAUUGGGACUGAGACACGGCCCAG
rnacentral:rRNA from 1 species